ensembl:lncRNA FGF12-AS3 FGF12 antisense RNA 3
UAUGCAGCCCCAGGGCAACCUGAGCCAUGGUCUUCAUCUUUCCUGUCUCUUUGAGAAUUAGUGAGAAAAUUGGCUCAUCUGGGAUUCUACCCAUAGAAAUUCCCCACAGAGGGAGAGACAAUUAGCAAAAGGAAAACAUCUAAAAAUAGUCCUUUGUGCUGCAGCGGAACACGGUUUUCCGAUACCUCCAGGAUUUGGGGCUGCAGUUGGACGUUUUCCAUCUCUUCUAAUAGCACUGUAACAAGUUGUCUUGAAUAAACACGAGCUCGUUAGCCAUAAGAAAACUUUAAA